ACCCCUGUCUAGCGGUUAGAACGCGAACCAUCCUUCGUCUCUGGGGCCUCGCGCAGCCGCCGGGCCAGGCGCAGGCUCCGGGGCGGAAAGAGGCCCGGGCGUCCCAGGGGUGUCACCUGCGGGGCGAGAAUGAGGUGAGCCUCACAGGGCCGUGGGCGGAGGGACCGUGUGACAGGAGGGCCGUCCGGAGCCGGCAGAGCCCCUGAGUGCUGGCCCUGCUGUGCCCGGCACUCGUCAGCGGGGAGGAAACAAAAUCUCUGGAUAAGACGACGGAGCAAAGCGAGAAGGCGUCACGCAACGGACCACGACUCAGCAAGUUUAUUUUGUGGAGCCGCGACCCGCAGGGAUGCUGGGGUGUUCCGAAAAGCAGCGCGCACGCCGUCUGCAGAGCCUGUGAGCCCCGGGCCCGGGGUCGCCAUCUGGGAGGUGGAGACCCUGGUACCCGCCUUGCCCCCCGCCCUGCUGGCCCCCCCGCCCCCUGCUUAAGGAAACGGGGCCACAGCAGCCAAUCAGGGUGGGUGGGAGGGUGGGGACCCGCCCCGCCUUCGACGAGGCCUUGGCCCCGGGCACGGCUCGACUGAGGGCUGAGACGAUCCCCCACAGACGGCGCCCGCCCCCAGACUCUCCCGAAGUAUCCAGACCCCGCUCCCCCAGGAGAACCCCUUAAAGGCAGUGCCUGCGCUAAGCCCCACGGAGCCCUCUCCCCAGACGGCUUCCACCAGCACCCGAGGGCCACAGAGGCUCUCGAGCCCCGCCUGGCUCCCGUGCUGGGCAGGGACGGCAUCAGAGAGAUCGUCUAGGAGGUGACCACGUCCUCACCCGGCAGCGCACGAGGACACGCAGACGUUCUGACUGAGAAGAGGCACCUGACAGGCUCGCGCGGGUUCCCGGGACUCAAAUCCCGGUCUAGCACCUGCCGCUGACCGUCCUCACCGGGGCCUGGGGAUGACUACGCCCUCCUCUCAAGGUCGCCGAGGAUUAAGCGAGAUUUCCGUCGGGGACACGGCGCCUCCCACGCGGUACGUGCCCAGGGAACACUCCCUCCCCUCCCCCUUCCCCCGGACGCGUGUGAUUCUACGAAUUCAUUUCGCGUGAAACUGGAGGCAUUGCCCCGUGCACGCUGGACGUGGUUGCCGUGGCCAUAGAUGCCAGCAGCCGUCUGCAAGUGGCGUGCUGGUCAGACGGCGGUGGCCCUGCCGGGCACCCCCACGUGCCCCGGCCGCCCGUGCCGGCUCCUCGGGUGUCCUCCCCGGUCCCCUCCUCAGGUCGGGCGGAUCGGGGCAGCUCCGAGAACGGCCGUGGGGCCCAGCCCGUCAGAGCAUCCAUCACCUGGUCUCAGGGGCCGUGGCCCAAGUCAGGCCCACGAGAUGAGGUGCCGGGGCGUGGCUGGGGACGUCUGAGGAAGCGGCUCACGCCCCUGGGGCUCGGACCGGAAGCUUCCAGAGGCCAUGUUGCCGCCGCGAGGCCAGGGCCCUCUCGAGAAGGAAGCGGGGCUGGAAACACUCCACCACGCGUGCCCCCUGAGCUCGGAAGCAGACACCCCGUCAGCGUUUCCGUUUGUGCUCGAGGCCCAGAUUCUCUGCCGGCCCCCCUCCCCAGCCAAGGGGUAGCCCGGCUUCUCUGCAACCGCCCCUCCCGGCGGCCCCGUCUCCCCGCUGCCCUGCCCGUGAGCCCCGGGCCUCGCUCCGCCCCCGGCCCGCUCACAGCGUGGACGCGCCUCUGGCUGGGCGACGUGGGGCGGCGCGUGGGCCCCCCGGAGCCUGUCCCGCCACUGCCCGCGCAGGGGUGCAGCUGCCCGGCCCUUCAUCGGGCUGCUGAGAGGAUCAGAGGUGUCGGCCCCGACGGGCUCCCGGGGGCAGGUCCCGCUGAGUCACCGACCGUGGAAGCCGCUUCCAGCUGCCGGUGAGCCGGCACACGGACGGAGUACCGGCCGCGUGAGCCCAGCUGAGCCACAGCCCCAGAGAUACCCCGUCCCAACCCGCACCCCAGAGGGGCUGCCGACGUGGCCAAGGCUCUGCCCGGCGGGUCCCGGCAGCGGGGUGGGCCCUCACCGUGACCACAAGUGUGCUUGAGGGACGGAGGCAGACGCUGGAGGGACGCGAGGGACGCGGCCACCAGCCAGGAGGUGCCGGGAGCCCCCAGGAGCUGGGAGAGGCAGGACGGACCCUCUCCUGGAGGCACCUUGAUUUGGGGCUGCUGGCAUCCGGGCUACAAGAGGAUAAACUUCCACCUGGUUUGUGGUCCUUUGUUACAGAGGCAACAAGAAGCCGACACGACCACUGCGUCAACGGGAAGCGUGACUUUGUAGCAAUUAGCGAUCAUCCUGUGUGUGCAUUUAGACCCACGCUUCCCCGGUUCAAGCCAGCGGCGCCCCUCCCCCAGGUUGUGCACCCGCCUCACCUCAGCCUCCAGCUCAGCCCCACCACAUCCGACAGGGAUGCUCCUAACACACAGUUGUGCUUGGGUUGCUCCCAGCCUAGAGUCUCUAAUGGCUCCCUACUGCCCUCGGGCCAAGAACUAAUCUCAGAAGCACAUUAUGGGGUAUGUGUGAUCUCACCCCAGUUUACUUCUCUAGCUCAGUGUCUGUGCCCCCUCCUUCCCGCCUUCCUUCGUCCAGCGAGCUGCCCCUAAUGUCACAAAGUGCGUGACGAAGAGGGUGAGGCCUGGCGCGGUGCCAGAAAACGUCGAUCGGAAAUUAGCCUUCAAACGUUUUCCCUGUUCCCGUGAGUCUACGAUGCUCAGAAUGUUCCAGAACACACGAAAAUAUCUCUGCCAGUAUCUCUGCCCGGAAAACCGGGAAGGUUUGGGCCUGAUUUAUCCAGAUUAGCUAUUUAUAUGGAUUGGGACCCACCCGCCCACCGCUCCAAAGCCCGCAGUCCCACGUAUGAGAACCUACUUCCCAGCACAAAGAAUCAGAGGGGGAGACGAGAUAGAAAGGGAGGGGCAGCCACGGGGUGCAGAUGGGGCUCUCGAACGUGCCAUCCUGGCUGGCUAAUAUUCCUGUGGCUUUUUCCACAGUGGCAAGUAGCACGGGGAGCAAGGCCUUCUGUGAAGGGCAGGUCCCCUGAACCCCGGCCAGGGCCCCGUAUACAGCAGGAGCACGACCAACACACGUUGCAUGCAUAAACAUACCCAGUGCUUUCCAGAGAGGGGUUCCCAGAGCCGUGCGGGCAUCGUGGCCACAGGUCCCAACAUCCCUCCCUGAUGGCGGCCAGGUGGCUCCACGAGAGACUCAACCGGAAAGAAACACCGUGGCGCCCGAGGCCUCUGGGCCCCUCUGCUGCUGGGUCCGGGCCCCCAAACGUGGCCGAGUUUAUCUUUCUAGCUCUUCCCUCUGGCACUAGUUGGGGAAGGGCAUUCAGAUUUUUGUUGUCCUCAGAAAUGACGGUGGCCGAACCGCCCUCGGGAAGGCCCGAGAAAGGCCUGCGUGUGUUUGCUGAAGCUACGUGUCCUUGAACACGCGCAAGCCGUAAGCAGGGUCCUCCCAGUAUCUCUGACAGAGCGUCUUCCCCGCGGCGGGGACACUUCAUACACAACUUGGGAACGAAGGGAAAGUCGGGGGACACCGGCUUACCGAGCAUUCAGUCGACACGUGUGUGUGAGGGGCCUCCGCGUGCAGAGGGCACAGGAUGAACAGUAUGCGAUUCCCGCACGAGGGAGCUCAGGGUCGAAACCGGUGUUUCCUCACCUCUGACACACACAGCAGCCCCCCGAGGGGUCUCUAAAAUCAGAUUCGUAUGCAGGGUGAGGCUCUGCCUUUCUAGCAGGGCCCCAGGGGACGCCGAGGCUGCCGGCCUGGGACGCAGGUCAGUGCCCCCCAGCCUGGGGACCAGCAGGACUGACAACCCCUGGGAUCCCAGCCAGAACUCUGGAAGCAGAAGCUUGGGGAGAGGGGCCGCCAGUCCAGGCUCAACGAGCCCUCCAGCGGAUUCGGAUGCUCUAGCGACUUUGAGCAUCGCAGGGUCUGGACUAUGUCCUCUUCCCUUGCACACGAUGACAUCAUUAAACAAGAAUGUCCUGUCCUGCUGAGUCACACGCUCCGUGAAUCCUCAACACGGCAGCUCAGGCGCCCCCGGGAGCCGGCCCUCAGGACGACAGCUGAAGCGUCCCAGGUCCACGCUAGACAGACAACAGACGGCCACCCGCGAUGUGGAUGCUACAAUCACAGGAUGUGCAAAGUGUCACGGGAGCUCGGGGGAGGGAGCGGCUCGGGGUGGGGGAGGAUGAGUGGGAGCCCCCAGGGCAGGAAGGGAGGGCGCUCCGGGCAGGGUGGACAGCAGGCUUUGCUUGGAAACAGGGAGCAUGAAUCCGCUCAGGGCCAGACCAGAUUCCCCAGUGGGCCGGGUCCCGGAAGGAAGAAGGGCGAGCCCAGGAGCCAGGGGCCUGUGUGAGAGAGGCCGCGGGGGGCGGGUGCAGGGUGGAGGCCGUGAUCUCUGCGGGGGGGGUCGGGGUCAGGCCCCCUCCCCGCUUGCCUGCCAGGCCCCUCCCCAGACCCCGCCGGGGAGAAAGGGCUGGGCAGUGGCUCUGGAGGAGGAGGAAGGAUCCAUCACGGGACUCGAGACCCUCCAAGAUAAACACGCAGAGAAACAAAAAAGUUGGGGCCGAUUAUAUUCGCCAUGGGAAAAAAAUAGCAUCAGGCACUGCGUUCUAAUAAAGCAUUCUGUCUGGUUUUGAUUUCACAGAUGUAAGAAAAUGCAGGCAGUCUGGCGUUGAGUUGGACCACUUCAGCCUGUUUCUAUAAACCACAUUUGGGAUGCUCUCAGCAUUUCUGAGAUUCAAUUUACAGGGCCUUCUCCGGGUCCCAAAUCCCCUAAAUGAACGCGGGGUGGGGGACGGCGUGGCCGGUUCCUUGGUGGGAACACGUUACCGCAGACAGCGUCGUCCCACAGAGUGAGGCAUCACCCAGCACCGUCCUAAUCACAGAGACACGGUGGUGCUGCACCGAGGAGACUCGGGGAUCGUCCUUCCUGCGCUGACACGCGCGUUCCCAGGCUGAACACAAGACCGCAGCCACGCGUCGGGGCAGGCUCGGCGUCCCCCCAGGGAGCGGGCGCGGAGGCCGCUGCCGGGCUUCCGGGGACCCCGCCGAGAGCCGAGGCUCCCGGCUCGGAGGGCCCGUCUGGGCCAAGCCCACCUGGCCCUCCCAGCGAUCGCAUCCCGGGACCGGCAGGCCGGACUCCCACGGGCUCCCGCCUCUGGCCGGGGCACCUCCACACCCCACCGCCCCCAGAACCCCCCCCCCCCCCGCAGCGGGGAGUCGAGCCGAGUGUCCGGAGUCCAGCGUCUCCCCGAGGGUCUGUCUUGCAGCGGCCGGUCUGGGACCCACCCUGACUCAAUCACAGGCGGCAGCCCCCAGCCCAAACGCAGCCCUGUUUAUUUUACUUUGCAUACACUUUUCCCACACAAAGAGGCUUGAGCACAUGCGGCAGGGCCCCGGCUGGCACAUUCCGGCAGCAGCCGGUGCCUCUUGGGCGGAGCGGACUUCUGUGAGGAGGAAGGGGGCCCCUGCGGCCUUCUGGGGGGACCGCGGCUGGCACUUAUCUUUAGGGAUGUCUUCUGACUCCUCGCCCCAGCUGGUCUCUCGGAGAAAAGGCUAAAUGCUUCGUGAGGACGCUGGGCCAAAGACAACUCUCCGGCUACAAGUCUGGCUCACCUUCCCCUGAACACAUCACCGCGAGGGAGCCUGCAGGGGUAGCCGGCCCAGAUCCUCCGGCUCGGGGGGAGCAGCUCUGGUGUCCAGAGGCUUCUGGCUACGGGGAUGGCCUCCCGUUACCGGCCGACUUAUAAGGGGGGAAAAAGGCCAACCGUGGAGACCCAUCGACAGGACCUGAUCUAGACCCUCUAACAAAUCCAGCGUCCCACUGGAAAAAGACACGCUUGAACGCUGCGGCCUGGGGUUGGGAGCUCGUCCCAGAAGGAAGGCCACUGGGCCAGGCCGCACCCCCUUCUCGAAUCCGGUUUUAUGAGGAAUACGCAGAAACGAUUACCAACGGCAUCCACUGGUGGCGGGUGAUGGCUAAUCUGAGCGUUUAGGACGUUUCUCCCAUUUUCCCCAGGCCGCCACCCGCGAGCGCGUGUAUGCGUGGGUCAGAGCGGGCGAAUGUUUCCGCGAGCCCGUGCGCGCGUGUGCACGCACACGUAAACGUGCACGCGUGUCUCCGCACGAGCCCGGCCCGAGGCAGGCAGGAGCCACGGGGCUGAGAGAGGCCGUGUCCCCUGAAUAAGCCCGUGAGCAGCGCGUGCUUCCUGACCAGGGUCCGGCACUCUCGUGACGGGACGGCCCACGCACGCGCCCCCCGGGUCACCGCGGAGCAGGCCUGCUUUACUGGAAGCUUCGGAGGCGACCUCAACCGCCCACAGCCCGAGGCAGGAGGACCACGGGUCGGCGGACGCAGGCGGUGCUGCCGUUCCGUAGCGAGGAGAGAGAAAACAGACCCAUCGCCAGAAGCAGAGGAAACGGAGACCACGCGGCCAAGAAAAAUGGCCUUUUUCUUUCCAGUCUCUUGCUAAAAUAGCUUUCUCCUUGGCUGCAUCUUUGGGGACAUGGCAGAAAUAAUAUGUUAAAUAGCUGGUUCCUCCCACUUUCCAGAAGGUUUUCCAGCGGCAGGCAGCCCGCGAGGUGCUACUUAUCAGUCAGCGGCACCCGCCCCGUGUCCCUGGGAGAUCUGGUGCCGGGCAGGGGACCCACGGGGCCACGGAGCCACCCAGAAGGGCCCCGGGGAAGCCAGGAUGGGGAGCAGAGGCGCAGAGUCGAUGCAGGCGAUGUGGGCUCUCCCUCCCGCGGGCAGGAAGGACGGCCACCUGACCCGCACAUGGCCCCCCACAGAUGCCCCCCCCCGCCCUGUCCACACAGGACUGGGGCACAGACACACUGACUUGCAGCCUCCGUCUGUCCCAGCCUCUGCGGCAAAAUACUGACGCCUCCACUCAGACCCUCUCUGCCACUCGGCCACUCUUUGUGGGCCCACCACCGGGCCCUCGCCCGCCUGUGGCUUCUCGCGGCUUCCGUCCUCCGCUGCGCCAUUACAGUGGGACAAGGCGGGGUCCCGGGCAGCCUUCGGGGUGGGUGGAGAUACUCCGGAUUUCCACUCUGACUCUGCUGUGGCCACGGAACACGUGCCACAGAAUUUCAUUUCUUUGAAACUCGCUGAGAUUUGUUUUAUGACCCAGAACGUGGCCCGUUGGCGGAUGUUCCGUGCCCACUUGUAAAAAAGGCACGUUCCGCUGAUUUGGAGAGGACGGUCCCGUGGAUGUCUGGCAGGUCCGCGUGGACGGUGCUGUGCCGGGACCCUGCUGCCCCCGGGCUGCCUGCCCCCCGCCUCGCGACAGCUGGCGGACAGGAGCUUCAGGCCUCAGGUGUGGGGCCGGUGCACGUGCAGCUGUGACGCCUCCCUGCAGAACGAUGCUUGGGCCGCAAAACGUCCGUCCCCCCGUCUGGUAAUCCCCGUCUGACAGCCACUUCAUAUGCUGUGUUCAGGCCGCAAUUUUUCUGUCCUGUUACUUUCUUUUUUCAAAUUUUUUUUUUUUUAACAUUUAUUUAUUUCUGAGAGACACAGUGCAAGCUGGGAAGGAGCAGACAAAGAGACACACAGAGUCCAAAGCAGGCGCCACGCUCCGGUGGCGAACUGAGGGCCGUCCUGUUGUACGUUGGUGUCCUUGGGGAGGGACGGCCGGUCGCCUGGGCCGGGGUCCACGAGACGCAGCCCUUGCAUCCCAGCCCCUUGGGGACCCCCGUCCUGCAGUGCGCUGCUCCCCACCCCACAGCUUCCCGGAGCCCCUGCUACCAGGGCCCCCCCAAACCUUCCCGCCUGUGCACCCCUUGUGGGCAGGGCCCCCGCCCUUCCCCAGCUCCGCGUCUUGCAGAACGGGGUGGGCGGGCGGGUGGUCACUGGAAUAAGGAUCGGAAAGUCACCAACCUCCCAGGAAAGCGGACAUACCGUGGAAUCCGUGGGCCCGUUACAGGCCGGGUGGGGGGGCUUUCAGAAGUCGGGGCCACCGUGGUCAGAACCUCGCUGGGCUGCAGCCCACACAGACAGAACCUCGCGCAGCAGAAGACAGGCCCCCAGGCCCCACGCAGGGGCUGUCGGCCAGAGGAGCGGGGUUCCCUGGGGCGUCCCCGUGGCCGCGCUGGGGACGCUCAGCACCGCGAUGGAGAACCGACGCCCCGUCCCCGCUCAGAGUAACCGCAGAACACGCUGCUCCCAAGAGAACCCGAGUCCCGAUUCCAGCGGACUCGCGUGGCAAGAAAAACACGCCGGCUUGCCAGCGGGCAGCGGGGGCUGGGAGGGGGGUCAGGAGGGACACAGGAAACCCCACAGUUACUAAGCGAUGGACCCCUCCAACCCUCGGUAAACAGUGUCUUAAUUUGUGGUGAUUAAUGCAGCGUUUCGUUGUAGUUGUGUAGUUUGGCAAACGAGUUCGACCUCGGCCCCCUUAACCCGCUUCCACGUCCCCCUCUCCCCGCAGCGCUCCCCCUUCCCAACCAGAUGAGUGAAGGGAUAAAUUACUCCGGAAAUGUCUGUGCUCCAAUAAAGCAUUAUCACCUGCCAAUCAGCAGAUAAGUA